rnacentral:rRNA from 1 species
CCUACGGGAGGCAGCAGUGAGGAAUAUUGCACAAUGGGCGAAAGCCUGAUGCAGCAACGCCGCGUGAGGGACGAAGGCCUUCGGGUCGUAAACCUCUUUUCUGAGGGACGAGACAAGGACGGUACCUCAGGAAUAAGUCUCGGCUAACUACGUGCCAGCAGCCGCGGUAAU